UACAGAGGGGGCAAGCGUUGUUCGGAAUUACUGGGCGUAAAGGGCGCGUAGGCGGCCUGCUAAGUCGAACGUGAAAUCCCUGGGCUCAACCCAGGAACUGCGUCCGAUACUGGUUGGCUUGAAUCCGGGAGAGGGAUGUGGAAUUCCAGGUGUAGCGGUGAAAUGCGUAGAUAUCUGGAGGAACACCGGUGGCGAAGGCGACAUCCUGGACCGGCAUUGACGCUGAGGCGCGAAAGCGUGGGGAGCGAACGGG
rnacentral:rRNA from 1 species